CGACAGAAAGGAACGGUCGGCGACGCGCGGCUCUGUCUACUUUUGAGAUUCCUUCGGGGGCAGUAACUCGGUGUCCCCUGUCUGCAGCCAGCUUGGGAGGAGGAGACAAAUCCGGUUAUCCGCGGUGGGGCACUUGCUGUUUUUCUCCGUGAAGGAUCCAGAAACCAUUUGGCAGUACACUAUUUUGUGAAGCAAACUUUGGCCCGUUUGGUGAAGGACUCUCCGAGCCCACGAAACGGGCCUAGCUGCAUCUGAACUCCAGUGUGCCUGCUAGUUUUCGAUUCCCAUUGGUACUUUUGAGAUUAAAAGCACAGGCUCAUCCACAGCAGACAGACAUCCUGGAGAGAGAUGCUGAUGAGAUCGGACCGGUUCCAUACCCCCAUCUUCUUUCCAGAAAGCCUGAAAUUGUUAACAACACAAAUAUUAUUAUGUGCCAGAAGGUGGCAAAAUUG